rnacentral:rRNA from 1 species
UGGGGAAUAUUGGACAAUGGGGGCAACCCUGAUCCAGCCAUGCCGCGUGUGUGAAGAAGGCCUUCGGGUUGUAAAGCACUUUCAGCUGUGAGGAAAGGCGAGUGGUUAAUACCCGCUUGCUGUGACGUUAACAGCAGAAGAAGGACCGGCUAACUCCGUGCCAGCAGCCGCGGUAAUACGGAGGGUCCGAGCGUUAAUCGGAAUUACUGGGCGUAAAGCGCGCGUAGGUGGUUCAGUCAGUCAGAUGUGAAAGCCCCGGGCUCAACCUGGGAACUGCACCUGAUACUGCUGAGCUAGAGUACG